UUGGUGAGGUAAUGGCUCACCAAGGCUUACGGGUAGCGGGUCUGAGAGGAUGAUCCGCCACACUGGGACUGAGACACUGCCCAGACUCCUACGGGAGGCUGCAGUCGAGAAUCAUUGUCAAUGCACGAAAGUGUGAACAUGCGACGCCGCGUGGAGGAAGACGGCCUUCGGGUUGUAAACUCCUGUCAGCAGGGAGUAAGGAUGGGAGGGCCAACAGUCCUUCCAUUUGAUAGUACCUGCAGAGGAAGUCACGGCUAACUCUGUGCCAGCAGCCGCGGUAAUACAGAGGUGGCGAACGUUGUUCGGAUUUACUGGGCGUAAAGGGUCCGCAGGCGGUCUUGUGUGUCAGAUGUGAAAGCCCACGGCUCAACCGUGGAAUUGCAUUUGAAACUGCAAGACUAGAGUACUGGAGGGGAGAAGGGAACACUUGGUGUAGCGGUGAAAUGCGUAGAUAUCAAGUGGAACACCGGUGCGAAGGCGCUUCUCUGGACAGAUACUGACGCUCAUGGACGAAAGCUUGGGUAGCGAAAGGGAUUAGAUACCCCUGUAGUCCAAGCCGUAAACGGUGUGCACUAGGCGUGGGAGGCUUUACCCCCUUCCGUGCCUGAGCUAACGCAUUAAGUGCACCGCCUGGGGAGUACGGUCGCAAGAUUAAAACUCAAAGGAAUUGACGGGGACCCGCACAAGCGGUGGAGCAUGUGGCUUAAUUCGAUGCAACGCGAAGAACCUUACCUGGGCUUGACAUAUAGCUGCAUCCGACCCGAAAGGGACGGAGCCUUCGAGGGUGCUAUACAGGUGCUGCAUGGCUGUCGUCAGCUCGUGCCGUGAGGUGUUGGGUUAAGUCCCGCAACGAGCGCAACCCCUGUGUUUAGUUGCCAGCACGUAAUGGUGGGAACUCUAAACAGACUGCUGGUGAAAGCCAGAGGAAGGUGGGGAUGACGUCAAGUCAGUAUGGUCCUUAUGUCCAGGGCUGCACACGUGCUACAAUGGGCGAUACAAUGGGAGGCUAAGCCGCGAGGUGGAGCAAAUCCUCAAAAUCACCCCCAGUUCGGAUUGGAGUCUGAAACUCGACUCCAUGAAGUUGGAAUCGCUAGUAAAGGUAUAUCAGCUACGAUACCUUGAAUACGUUCCCGGGUCUUGUACACACCGCCCGUCACAUCAUGGAAGUUGGUUGCACCCGAAGUCGUUGAUCCAACCCGUCAAGGGGGGAAGGCGCCUAAGGUGUGAUCGGUAACUGGGAUGAAGUCGAAACAAGGUA
rnacentral:rRNA from 1 species